rnacentral:tRNA from 1 species
GGGCGGUUAGCUCAGUUGGUUAGAGUGCCACGUUGACAUCGUGGAGGCCGCAGGUUCAAGUCCUGCACCGCCCA